UCCCUGGUGGCUCAGAUGGUAAAGCGUCUGCCUACAAUGCAGGAGACCCAGGUUCAAUUCCUGUGUCAGGAA
rnacentral:tRNA from 1 species